rnacentral:rRNA from 1 species
CCUACGGGUGGCUGCAGUGGGGAAUAUUGCACAAUGGGGGAAACCCUGAUGCAGCGACGCCGCGUGAGUGAAGAAGUAAUUCGUUACGUAAAGCUCUAUCAGCAGGGAAGAAACACUGACCUUACGGUCAGCAGACGGUACCUGAGUAAGAAGCCCCGGCUAACUACGUGCCAGCAGCAGCGGUAAUACGUAGGGGGCAAGCGUUAUCCGGAUUUACUGGGUUUAAAGGGGGCGUAGGCGGGCUGUUAAGUCAGCGUGAAAAGCCCGGGGCUAACCCCUGGCGAGCCGUUGAAACUGGCUGUCUUGAGAUGUCGAGCGGUAUGCGGAAUGCGCAGUGUAGCGGUGAAAUGCUUAGAUAUUGCGCAGAACUCCGAUUGCGAAGGCAGCAUACCGGCGGCGAUCUGACGCUGAGGCACGAAAGCGUGGGUAUCGAACAGGAUUAGAUACCCCAGUAGUC